UUGGGAGCUCUCUAACUUCUCCUCCCUGCUUCUCUGGGGAGAUGCUCCUGGCAUGGACAUCCCAUCAGCCCAUGCAAAAGCAGCUGGCUGUGUCCCCCUGCUCACAGGGGCCUCUAAAUGCCCAUACAUGCAAAUGUGGAUGUAUGCACACCCCCCACAAAUGCUCACUGGAAGAAAAGACAAAGCAGAUGAAAUAGUGGUAGCUGUCUGCUUUCAUUUCUGCUUGUUUGCCAACAUUACGGGCUGUGUCCAGCAAGUGUUUUGUUUAUGGCAUUCUCUGGGGAGCUACUGGAGUGACUGAGCAUUGGGCCAUGCCUUUGGAAGUUCACACACCUCACAUCACUUUGGAGGAUGUUUCAAGAAGGGUAGAAGCACCUCAGUGGAAGAAAGAGUGGUUUACUGAAGUAAAUGGAACCUUUCAAGAGGACACCUUUAUAAUGCCAGAGAUAGGGAGAAAACGCAGAAAGUACUCAGACUGAAAAAGAUGUUCAGAAAGAAAAAAAAAAUUCUCUUCCAGGAAAUAAGCUCAUAUUACCAGAGUAAGCUCAGAAACAGUCUUAUCGAACGGGACUUUUUCCCUCAUACAGUACAGAGGAAACCAAUUCUGCUUUCUGCACACCUUCUCCAGUCCUUCCUUCAUCUCCACCAGCAGCCAUGGAGACCUGCCAACUGCAGACUGAAAAGGAAUCUUUCACCCAGUAGCUCAUCAGAGAAGAUCACAACCAUGAGCCAGUUGAGCAUAAACUAUUGCAGAACAAUACCCACAGCCUCCAUUUUCAGGAUGCAAAGAAGCAAAGAAAGGAAAUUCCCCAAAGUCUCCCGAUUCUGCUCAGAUUGAUGCCAUCCAUUUGCUUCCCUUUCAGGCAACUGCAGAGCGG
rnacentral:lncRNA from 1 species